CUCGGGGAUAACUUCGGGAAACCGGAGCUAAUACCGGAUAAUAUAUUGAACCGCAUGGUUCAAUAGUGAAAGACGGUUUUGCUGUCACUUAUAGAUGGAUCCGCGCCGCAUUAGCUAGUUGGUAAGGUAACGGCUUACCAAGGCAACGAUGCGUAGCCGACCUGAGAGGGUGAUCGGCCACACUGGAACUGAGACACGGUCCAG
rnacentral:rRNA from 1 species